UCUAUUUUCAUCAAGUAUUAUAGCGUCGCCGGCAGAUCAUUUGUUUUCUUUCGGCCUCUCGCAUCCUUGAUCAUACAUCUCUUUUUUACUUGUUGAUCUUUUCUUCUUGAUUUUUCUCAUACAAAUUUCGACCGUACCAUUUCUUGAUCGUUUCGGUAACUCGUUUCUUUUCCCGCUUAAAGUUUCGUGGCCAAUAUUGGAUAUGAAUUUAUUGUCUAUGUCACAUGUUCAGAUUCUCGUUUUCGUUUCGGAUCGGAUAAUCCGAUCCGCAAAUCGGAAAUCGUUCCUCCUGAAUCCAGUUUCGUUUCCGAUCUUGGUUCUUGUUUUGUUCACAUAACAUCAGCUCAAUCUCAAUUUCUUAUCCGAUCGGGAAAGACCGGAAAUCUUCCCUCAUGAAUUUUACCGGUCAUGGCUCUGGAUCUGUUCAUACCGAAACGUAACAAUCUCGUUUCCAUGUCGGAUCGGGAAAGAUCGGAAUAUUCUCCCUCAUCAAUCCGUCAAGACGAUAAACCGUCGCUAAUUGUCAACGGAGCAAUUGCUUAAUUUUGUUCGUACGAUUCUCUGCUUAAGUUGCUUGGAUUGUGAUGAAGACGAUGGAUGAUCCACAUAAUCAUGAAACUGUACUGUCUUUGUAAGUUGUUAUAAUAAUUUCAUCAUGAAGACAAUGGAUCUAGGCUGACCGAGGGAA